rnacentral:rRNA from 1 species
CAGUAGCCGCGGGAAUACGGAGGGCGCGAGCGUUACCCGGACUUACUGGGCGUAAAGGGCGUGUAGGCGGCCUGGGGCGUCCCAUGUGAAAGGCCACGGCUCAACCGUGGAGGAGCGUGGGAUACGCUCAGGCUAGAGGGUGGGAGAGGGUGGUGGAAUUCCCGGAGUAGCGGUGAAAUGCGCAGAUACCGGGAGGAACGCCGAUGGCGAAGGCAGCCACCUGGUCCACUUCUGACGCUGAGGCGCGAAAGCGUGGGGAGCAAACCGGAUUAGAUACCCCCGUAGUCCCUGUCUCUUAUAC